rnacentral:rRNA from 1 species
AUACCCGCUGAACUUAAGCAUAUCAAUAAGCGGAGGAAAAGAAACCAACAGGGAUUGCCUCAGUAACGGCGAGUGAAGCGGCAACAGCUCAAAUUUGAAAUCUGGCUCACGCCCGAGUUGUAAUUUGUAGAGGAUGUUUCGGGUGAAGCCGCGGUCCAAGUCCCUUGGAACAGGACGUCAUAGAGGGUGAGAACCCCGUACCUGGCCGCCGGUGCCCCCCGCUGUGAAACUCCUUCGACGAGUCGAGUUGUUUGGGAAUGCAGCUCUAAAUUGGUGGUAAAUUCCAUCUAAAGCUAAAUACCGGCCAGAGACCGAUAGCGCACAAGUAGAGUGAUCGAAAGAUGAAAAGCACUUUGAAAAGAGAGUUAAAAAGUACGUGAAAUUGUUGAAAGGGAAGCGCUUGCGGCCAGACUUGCCUGCAGUUGCUCAGCCCGCCUUUUGGCGGGUGCACUCUUCUGCAGUCAGGCCAGCAUCGGUUUGGGCGGUCGGAUAAAGGCGUUGGGAACGUGGCCUCCCCUCGGGGAGGUGUUAUAGCCCGGCGCGCAAUGCGACCAGCCCGGACCGAGGUUCGCGCUUUGCUAGGAUGCUGGCGUAAUGGCCGUAAGCGGCCCGUCUUG